GAACAUUUUCCUGAAUAUCUCUCUUGACUAUUGGAUACUUAACAGCUCACACUCUUCACCUAGCAUUAGCCUUAAUAUCCUUCUCCGAAAUUCUUCCCUGUAAAGUUAAUACAUAAAAAGGGAUGAGCUUAUAAAGCUCAGUAAGCAUAUACGUACGUUUCAACUGAGUUUUAUUCACAAAACUUGGUGAACCAAAUCAAUAUUUCAUCAGAGUCAUCAAAACAGUUUCACACAUCAAGAUGAGUAUGAGUAUUCAAGCACGAUUAGUUCAUCAAUUCAUCAAGUUGGGAUCCCGGCCAGCUAAACAAUUGGUUUAGCUUUACUUCCAAUAAGGAAGCAUCAUCAUCAGUUCAUCAAGUAUCAAUGCAAGAAUACUCAUUUCUCAUCAGAAAAUCAUCAAUAAAAUAUUCACCAAAAC
rnacentral:lncRNA from 1 species